UGUGAGAAAAUCGCAAGGAAGACAGGCGGAUCGGGGCGCAGCGUCGAGGGAUCUGGCGGGUGGUGCGGGGGGCUUCGGUGGCGGCGGCGUCCUUCUCAUCCAGAGAAAGGGAGAGACAUGGCAUGAGGGAGAUAGGAAAGAGAGGAAGAAAGGAGAAGGAGAGGGGGCGCAAGGUGAGGGAGAUGGUCGCCGGCGGUGGCGCCUCCGGUGACCGGCCGGCGACAGGCCCGAUGGUGUCUGGAGUUUUGGACACCUGCGCGAGCUACCCUGCUGCUGCUAAUUCUUCUCUCCCCAUGCCUCUGCAGCUGCUCCUUCUACUCCUCAGAUGCCCAUGCUUGCUCUGAAACAAUCAUUGUUGAAGGUGAAGUUCUUUUACAGAACAAUGUAAAAUAUGUUAUGCAGAGGAACUAUGUUAGCUGAAGUGGUUGCUAAGUUGUUUGAACAAAUGAAGAUGAGGUUUGAUGCUUAAUUGUGCUUGCCGGACUGAAGGGCAUGAUUUCUGGACCACAGAUGAUGCAUUUUAUUGGCAGGCACAAUCAAGGGCCCAUCAUCUUUCUGCUAUAGGAGUGACUGAACAAUUGCAAAAAUCUAAGCAAGAAGAAGAUAGUUGACCCCAGGGACUGCCCCAUGUGUAUGCAGGCAUCCGAAGACUGCACUCAUCUGUUCUUGUUCUGCCCCAAUGUUAGACCGAUCUGGACAGCCACUGGUAUCAACCACAAAUGCAGAGACAUCAAAGAUGUUUGGGUGUUUAAUCCCCCAACUCCACUUCCAGCUUCUCUGCAAACUUUCAUGACGCUGUUGGUUCUUUGGAAAAUCUUAGACUCCAGGAAUGCAUGUGUUUCAGGAAAAAUCGACUCUCACCAGUCGAUGUACUAAAAAGAUGUUGGUCUUUGGCCUGAUUUCUUCUCCUCAAGGUAAACGAUUGUCCUGUAAUACCCCUAUUUCUCCUUAAGUGAAAAUUCAGGUGGGGAAGCCCCCAUCCCCCCUCCUACAUCACCUAGCCUGGUAUCGUAACAAGUUUUAUUUUGAAUGCCUAGAACGUCUAGAAACUUUUCACUAAGUGCCCUCACAAAUCUUAUAAGUAAAUGAUGUUCUCUAUGAAUUUUUAUUUUACAAGCUGCAACUACGUUACGAUUUUCUCCCCUGCCUACAAGUUGGUACAGAGCCGAAACCCAACUGUCUUCCAAUGGAGGUUUGUGCAAAUGGAGGCCAAGUUGCUGUUGUGGUGGUAUGGUUGGUAGGUCAUGGUUUCACGUUCCGCUGCAGAUUAAGAAGGCUCUCAAGGGUCUGAGAGUUGAGGUAUCCCACCGAGGAGAGGUGCGCAGGAAAUACCGCAUCAAUGGCUUGACAAAGCAGUCUAGCAGAGAUUUGAGGUUCAAAUUAUCGACCGUCGAAACCAAGACUGUGAGGGACUACUUUCGAGAAACCUGCAAGCUGCAACUAAGUUACGAUUUUCUCCCCUGCCUGCAAGUUCGUACAGAACAAAAACCGAACUAUCUUCCAAUGGAGGUUUGUGCAUUGGAGGCCAAGUUGCUGCUGUGGUGGUAUGGCAAGACUGAACUCAACUCAUCGGCUGUGGCAAAAUGAUCUCCCUACAAGUACUAACUAAUUUGCAUAUAUGCUCUGGUUCUCAUGUUACUGUAUGAAUUAGGUGCCUCCAAAUAAAUUCUCAAAAAAAGAAGUUUUAAAAAAUAAGUUAGUUCGGAUUCAGCACGUGGCUCUUGUUGCAAUUGCUUGCAUCACUUCUAGCUCAUUUCUUUGUAUUCUCUUAGUUAGUUCCUUAUUCAGGCUCUACUACUUAUCAUCAUUUUUGGCCCAGGAAAACAGUGUCAUGAUUUAUAAACUAAAUGAAAAUAUUAUCCCCAAAAUCCCAACCAGUAGAUGCAAACAUCACACCAUAUCUAAAAUGUUCAUCCCUAAUUUAACAGGUACCAACAAGGUGAAAAGAUCCUCAGCUGAGUGUCUUUGCUGAGGGUCAAUUUCUUUAGGAGCAGGCAAAACCGCCUCGAUGCAGAGAGAUCUGCCAUACAUGCACCGUUGUCUCGAAACACUUUACUUCAUUGUGUGCUUUACUGACUGAAUAACUACUUCUGAUUCUUGUCAAAGGUUGAAGCUGUGAAGAAGAUAAUCAAGUACGUAUGAUGCAGUUUAGGAGAGUUGUCAAAGAGCACGGUUAGUUUGUUCUGUUAUAAUACUAAAUUCGUAGAUGGUGGUGUAGCUGUACUGUUAUGUCGUGUUCAGCAGCGAUAAGACCAUUGCUCUUCAUGUUUUUAGUUUAAUCUGUACUAAUUCAGAAAGAUUAGUCACAUAUUGGUCGUUGUUAGCCACCUGAAGUUAAUGGGAGAGGAAGGAGCAUGAGUGGUCUUUUCUUUUCGUUUCACAAAUUAGCCACAAGUUAAAUGCAGGGUGAGAGCAUGUGCAGAUUAAUUUUUUACCGACUGGAACAGGCUAUCAAAGAUUGUUCUAUCCGUCUUGGAAAAAUGUGUUCAAAGUGAAUUCUUUCAAGAGCUGAGCCUAUUUAUUAACUUAUGUAAGUCCUUAGAUUCUAUGGCCGCAAUCCAGAAGCUUUAUGAGAUUUGCCAAGUAUAUUAUGAAAAACGGUCGUCAUUUCUUGAAGCCGUCGAAAAUGUUUGUGUCGUAUUAGUUAAGAACUACAUGGAGAAUUGACACUAACCAAACUAAAUGCCUUACUAUUGAUUACCACAUAUUGUAUUGUGAGCAUGGGAUGUAUUUCUAUGCUUGGAGAAAAACACAUUAUUAUUAAUUAGAUUAUAUUUCGUUAUUGGAUGUGUUCCUAUACUAUCUUGAAUAAACAAAAACUUCAUAUAUAAUUACCCGAGCAGGUGCGCCACAUUGUUCUUUUUAUUUUAUUUUGUAGUAACACAAGGGCAAUGGCACUCACAUUUGAAUACCCACAUCGUCGACUGGCGGGCUGAAGGAGGGCACCCUAGAGCGGAUGCCCACUCAACCGGGCCUUGGCAAGGACACCUGCCUCAUGCCGCUGCACGCUCAUGUGCUCUCCUAUUCUGAAUCGUUGGGCAGAGGAGUAGGAGGCCAUGGGUGGCAUUGGGUCUGACCAAUGGCUUGAGGACCUUCUUGACAACAAGACUACCGUGCCAUGCUGUCGUGUUGGGUCAUCACGGUGACCAUGGACAGUCAGGCUUCAUGGUGGGGCUGGGAUGGACCCCUGGUAGGAUCGUAGGCAAUGUCUCUUGCUCUGCCACGUCAUUAUACGCGAUCCAGGGCAAGAGGAUAUCAACCAGGACACAGUUGUAUCCCCAUUGCAACGCAGAGGUUUCAUAUUACAAAAGAUAUUAUUCUCUAAUAUGAAUCUGUAAGAAAAGAUAUGUCAUACAUUUGUGCAAAUUGAUAAUGUAAGCUAAUCUCAAAACUUUAUUUCAAGAUUGAUUACUCGGUGGUGCUAACUUCCAUUUUCUCAAAACAGGAUGUGCAUGCUAUUUCUGAAAAAAGAAGCUUCUAUGUUGGAUGGCGUCCCUGGUGGUAGUUUAAGAUAUCUAGCAAAUGAAAGGGCGCCUCAUAAUUCAUUGGAUAUAGUUGGCUGUAAAUGACUGUCAGUUUCUAGCUUAAAUAUAGUUUUAGAUAUCUAGAUAUGUACUCUUUAACAGUAUGAUGUGCUUGAUGGUGGCCCUAUGUGUUGGUUGAAAUUAUCACGUUCUUUACGAGCAGUUGCAGUGCUCUUAUUAUUUUAUUUUCACAAAUAUCAUCACAUUUUCCCUCAAUCUUAAGAUAUGCACUAUGCU